rnacentral:rRNA from 1 species
UACAGAGGUCCCAAGCGUUGUUCGGAUUCAUUGGGCGUAAAGGGUGCGUAGGUGGCGCCGUAAGUCGGGUGUGAAAUUUCGGAGCUUAACUCCGAAACUGCAUUCGAUACUGCGGUGCUUGAGGACUGGAGAGGAGACUGGAAUUCAUGGUGUAGCAGUGAAAUGCGUAGAGAUCGUGAGGAAGACCAGUGGCGAAGGCGGGUCUCUGGGCCGAUACUGACGCUGAGGAGCGAAAGCGUGGGGAGCGAACAGG